rnacentral:rRNA from 3 species
UUAAGCGACUAAGCGUACACGGUGGAUGCCCUGGCAGUCAGAGGCGAUGAAGGACGUGCUAAUCUGCGAUAAGCGUCGGUGAGGUGAUAUGAACCGUUAUAACCGGCGAUUUCCGAAUGGGGAAACCCAGUGUGAUUCGUCACACUAUCAUUAACUGAAUCCAUAGGUUAAUGAGGCGAACCGGGGGAACUGAAACAUCUAAGUACCCCGAGGAAAAGAAAUCAACCGAGAUUCCCCCAGUAGCGGCGAGCGAACGGGGAGGAGCCCAGAGCCUGAAUCAGUGUGUGUGUUAGUGGAAGCGUCUGGAAAGGCGCGCGAUACAGGGUGACAGCCCCGUACACAAAAAUGCACAUAUUGUGAGCUCGAUGAGUAGGGCGGGACACGUGGUAUCCUGUCUGAAUAUGGGGGGACCAUCCUCCAAGGCUAAAUACUCCUGACUGACCGAUAGUGAACCAGUACCGUGAGGGAAAGGCGAAAAGAACCCCGGCGAGGGGAGUGAAAAAGAACCUGAAACCGUGUACGUACAAGCAGUGGGAGCCUCUUAAUGGGGUGACUGCGUACCUUUUGUAUAAUGGGUCAGCGACUUAUAUUCUGUAGCAAGGUUAACCGAAUAGGGGAGCCGAAGGGAAACCGAGUCUUAACUGGGCGUUAAGUUGCAGGGUAUAGACCCGAAACCCGGUGAUCUAGCCAUGGGCAGGUUGAAGGUUGGGUAACACUAACUGGAGGACCGAACCGACUAAUGUUGAAAAAUUAGCGGAUGACUUGUGGCUGGGGGUGAAAGGCCAAUCAAACCGGGAGAUAGCUGGUUCUCCCCGAAAGCUAUUUAGGUAGCGCCUCGUGAAUUCAUCUCCGGGGGUAGAGCACUGUUUCGGCAAGGGGGUCAUCCCGACUUACCAACCCGAUGCAAACUGCGAAUACCGGAGAAUGUUAUCACGGGAGACACACGGCGGGUGCUAACGUCCGUCGUGAAGAGGGAAACAACCCAGACCGCCAGCUAAGGUCCCAAAGUCAUGGUUAAGUGGGAAACGAUGUGGGAAGGCCCAGACAGCCAGGAUGUUGGCUUAGAAGCAGCCAUCAUUUAAAGAAAGCGUAAUAGCUCACUGGUCGAGUCGGCCUGCGCGGAAGAUGUAACGGGGCUAAACCAUGCACCGAAGCUGCGGCAGCGACACUAUGUGUUGUUGGGUAGGGGAGCGUUCUGUAAGCCUGUGAAGGUGUACUGUGAGGUAUGCUGGAGGUAUCAGAAGUGCGAAUGCUGACAUAAGUAACGAUAAAGCGGGUGAAAAGCCCGCUCGCCGGAAGACCAAGGGUUCCUGUCCAACGUUAAUCGGGGCAGGGUGAGUCGACCCCUAAGGCGAGGCCGAAAGGCGUAGUCGAUGGGAAACAGGUUAAUAUUCCUGUACUUGGUGUUACUGCGAAGGGGGGACGGAGAAGGCUAUGUUGGCCGGGCGACGGUUGUCCCGGUUUAAGCGUGUAGGCUGGUUUUCCAGGCAAAUCCGGAAAAUCAAGGCUGAGGCGUGAUGACGAGGCACUACGGUGCUGAAGCGACAAAUGCCCUGCUUCCAGGAAAAGCCUCUAAGCAUCAGGUAACAUCAAAUCGUACCCCAAACCGACACAGGUGGUCAGGUAGAGAAUACCAAGGCGCUUGAGAGAACUCGGGUGAAGGAACUAGGCAAAAUGGUGCCGUAACUUCGGGAGAAGGCACGCUGAUAUGUAGGUGAAGCGACUUGCUCGUGGAGCUGAAAUCAGUCGAAGAUACCAGCUGGCUGCAACUGUUUAUUAAAAACACAGCACUGUGCAAACACGAAAGUGGACGUAUACGGUGUGACGCCUGCCCGGUGCCGGAAGGUUAAUUGAUGGGGUUAGCGGUAACGCGAAGCUCUUGAUCGAAGCCCCGGUAAACGGCGGCCGUAACUAUAACGGUCCUAAGGUAGCGAAAUUCCUUGUCGGGUAAGUUCCGACCUGCACGAAUGGCGUAAUGAUGGCCAGGCUGUCUCCACCCGAGACUCAGUGAAAUUGAACUCGCUGUGAAGAUGCAGUGUACCCGCGGCAAGACGGAAAGACCCCGUGAACCUUUACUAUAGCUUGACACUGAACAUUGAGCCUUGAUGUGUAGGAUAGGUGGGAGGCUUUGAAGUGUGGACGCCAGUCUGCAUGGAGCCGACCUUGAAAUACCACCCUUUAAUGUUUGAUGUUCUAACGUGGGCCCCUUACCGGGGUUGCGGACAGUGUCUGGUGGGUAGUUUGACUGGGGCGGUCUCCUCCUAAAGAGUAACGGAGGAGCACGAAGGUUGGCUAAUCCUGGUCGGACAUCAGGAGGUUAGUGCAAUGGCAUAAGCCAGCUUGACUGCGAGCGUGACGGCGCGAGCAGGUGCGAAAGCAGGUCAUAGUGAUCCGGUGGUUCUGAAUGGAAGGGCCAUCGCUCAACGGAUAAAAGGUACUCCGGGGAUAACAGGCUGAUACCGCCCAAGAGUUCAUAUCGACGGCGGUGUUUGGCACCUCGAUGUCGGCUCAUCACAUCCUGGGGCUGAAGUAGGUCCCAAGGGUAUGGCUGUUCGCCAUUUAAAGUGGUACGCGAGCUGGGUUUAGAACGUCGUGAGACAGUUCGGUCCCUAUCUGCCGUGGGCGCUGGAGAACUGAGGGGGGCUGCUCCUAGUACGAGAGGACCGGAGUGGACGCAUCACUGGUGUUCGGGUUGUCAUGCCAAUGGCACUGCCCGGUAGCUAAAUGCGGAAGAGAUAAGUGCUGAAAGCAUCUAAGCACGAAACUUGCCCCGAGAUGAGUUCUCCCUGACUCCUUGAGAGUCCUGAAGGAACGUUGAAGACGACGACGUUGAUAGGCCGGGUGUGUAAGCGCAGCGAUGCGUUGAGCUAACCGGUACUAAUGAACCGUGAGGCUUAACCUU